UACAGAGUUGCAAAACUCCCAACCAUUGUGAACCUACCUCACCGUUGCUUCGGCGGGUGGCUCGGGGCAACCCAGGCCGCGCCGGCCCCUCUUCAGGGGCCCGGCAAACCCGUCAGAGGACCGAAACUCUUCGUCAUCAGUGGCCUCUCUGAGUAACUUAUACAAUAAGUCAAAACUUUCAACAACGGAUCUCUUGGUUCUGGCAUCGAUGAAGAACGCAGCGAAAUGCGAUACGUAAUGUGAAUUGCAGAUUUCAGUGAAUCAUCGAAUCUUUGAACGCACAUUGCGCCCGCUAGUAUUCUGGCGGGCAUGCCUGUUCGAGCGUCAUUUCAACCAUCAAGCCCCUGUGCUUGUGUUGGAGCCCUGCGGCUGCCGCAGGCUCCCAAACCCAGUGGCGGGCUCGUCGUCGUACCGAGUGCAGUAAACUUACCACGCUCAGGGCACGCGACGGGUAACCGGCCGUAAAACCCCCCACUUCUCAAAGGUUGACCUCGGAUCAGGUAGGAAUACCCGCUGAACUUAAGCAUAUCAAUAAGCGGAGGAAAAGAAACCAACAGGGAUUGCCCCAGUAACGGCGAGUGAAGCGGCAACAGCUCAAAUUUGAAAUCUGGCCUCGGCCCGAGUUGUAAUUUGCAGAGGAAGCUUCUGGUGCGGCGCCGUCCGAGUCUCCUGGAACGGAGCGCCAUAGAGGGUGAGAGCCCCGUAUGGACGGAUGCCAAACCUGUGUGAAGCUCCUUCGACGAGUCGAGUAGUUUGGGAAUGCUGCUCUAAAUGGGAGGUAAAUUCCCUUCU
rnacentral:rRNA from 1 species